rnacentral:rRNA from 1 species
GUCGGGAAUAUUGCACAAUGGGCGAAAGCCUGAUGCAGCAACGCCGCGUGCGCGAUGAAGGCCUUCGGGUCGUAAAGCGCUUUUCGGGGAGAUGAGUAAGGACAGUAUCCCCGGAAUAAGGAUCGGCUAACUACGUGCCAGCAGCCGCGGUAAAACGUAGGAUCCGAGCGUUAUCCGAAUUCACUGGGCGUAAAGCGCGUGCAGGUGGUCCGGUAAGUUGGAUGUGAAAGCUCCUGGCUCAACUGGGAGAGGUCGUUCAAUACUGUCGGACUUGAGGACGGUAGAGGGAGGUGGAAUUCCCGGUGUAGUAGUGAAAUGCGUAGAUAUCGGGAGGAACACCUGUGGCGAAAGCGGCCUCCUGGACCGUUCCUGACACUAAGACGCGAAAGCUAGGGGAGCGAACGGGAUUAGAAACCCCAGUAGUCC